AGAGCGAACGCUGGCGGCAGGCUUAACACAUGCAAGUCGAGCGGGCGUAGCAAUACGUCAGCGGCAGACGGGUGAGUAACGCGUGGGAACGUACCUUUUGGUUCGGAACAACCCAGGGAAACUUGGGCUAAUACCGGAUACGUCCGAAAGGAGAAAGAUUUAUCGCUGAAGGAUCGGCCCGCGUCUGAUUAGCUAGUUGGUGAGGUAACGGCUCACCAAGGCGACGAUCAGUAGCUGGUCUGAGAGGAUGAUCAGCCUCACUGGGACUGAGACACGGCCCAGACUCCUACGGGAGGCAGCAGUGGGAAUAUUGGACAAUGGGCGCAAGCCUGAUCCAGCCAUGCCGCGUGGGUGAUGAAGGCCCUAGGGUUGUAAAGCCCUUUCGGCGGGGAAGAUAAUGACGGUACCCGCAGAAGAAGCCCCGGCUAACUACGCGCCAGCAGCCGC
rnacentral:rRNA from 1 species